rnacentral:lncRNA from 1 species
GGUAAGUACAUUUGGUAUUCCUCUUCCUUAAUGCUGAAAGAAAAUGCACCUGUCUGAUGUAGAAAAGUGGCUUUGAAAAACAAAAGCCAAAAGAUAAAUAAUGUGAACAGUAAAGAAUGACACGCUGCUUUGAUGCUGGACAAACGUUACAGUGAGGGUGGCCAGACAUAGUGGCUGGCAUCUGAAGUCUCAGAUACUCAGGAAGCUGCGGCAAGAGGAUCACUGGAGCCCCGCAGUUCAGGGCCAGCCUGAACAACAAAACAAGACCAU